UUCUCCUGCCUCACCCUCUCAAGUAGCUGGGAUUACAGAGAUCGCCAAAAUUUCUGAUUCAGAAAUGGCACCUUUCUUCAUUUACCACCUUUAACUGGAGUUACUGACAUUUCACACACAAGGAACCUGAGGCUUAGAGAAGGCAACCUUGAGAAGCAGGAGAUAUCAUACAGGGAUAACGUGUCUUAUCAUGUUACAGCAUUGAUAAGGCUAAGGCAUUCGUAGACAAGUGUUAUUUGUUCUUUCAAACAAACAAGAUUAAAUGAGAAAACCAAACAAUGAAGAGAAC